CCCAUCGCUGCUUGCAGCUUUAAUUUUUCAUUUGUCAUUUUUCAGAAUGCAGAAAACAUCGUGCCCAGAAAAUAUUCCUGUACCAAGGCAUCGUGGACAGAAGAGUUAAAAAUGGAAAAGAAGAAGUCAAAGUUAUGUGGACCCCUUGCUCAAUAUGUGACAAAGUGUGGAAUGACACCUGGGAACCAGCACAACAAUAUUCAUGACUCCAUGGCAACAGCAGCAUAUGCAGAAACUGGGGGCUUCGACAGUUUUAGCACAGUUUCUUCUUAUAAAGAGCAUGCUGUCAUUUAUAAAUUGUUUCUUCAUCAUUUCAUUGACGUUCACUUUUGAAAUA